UACGUAGGGACCAAGCGUUGUUCGGAUUUACUGGGCGUAAAGGGCGCGUAGGCGGCGUGUUAAGUCAGCUGUGAAAUCUCCGAGCUUAACUCGGAACGGUCAGCUGAUACUGAUGUGCUAGAGUGCAGAAGGGGCAAUCGGAAUUCUUGGUGUAGCGGUGAAAUGCGUAGAUAUCAAGAGGAACACCUGAGGUGAAGACGGGUUGCUGGGCUGACACUGACGCUGAGGCGCGAAAGCUAGGGGAGCGAACGGG
rnacentral:rRNA from 1 species